GAUGAACGCUGGCGGCGUGCCUAAUACAUGCAAGUCGAGCGAACAGACGAGGAGCUUGCUCCUUUGACGUUAGCGGCGGACGGGUGAGUAACACGUGGAUAACCUACCUAUAAGACUGGGAUAACUUCGGGAAACCGGAGCUAAUACCGGAUAACAUGUUGAACCGCAUGGUUCAACAGUGAAAGACGGUCUUGCUGUCACUUAUAGAUGGAUCCGCGCCGCAUUAGCUAGUUGGUAAGGUAACGGCUUACCAAGGCAACGAUGCGUAGCCGACCUGAGAGGGUGACCGGCCACACGGGAACUGAGACACGGUCCAGACUCCUACGGGAGGCAGCAGUAGGGAAUCUUCCGCAAUGGGCGAAAGCCUGACGGAGCAACGCCGCGUGAGUGAAGAAGGUCUUCGGAUCUUAAAACUCUGUUAUUAGGGAAGAACAAAUGUGUAAGUAACUAUGCACGUCUUGACGGUACCUAAUCAGAAAGCCACGGCUAACUACGUG
rnacentral:rRNA from 1 species